AUUCUGUAAUGAGGGCACUUUCGUAAUAAUUCUCUCUACCUUUCCCAUGCCUCAUACAAGGACUUAUCAUCUAUUUGUUGGAAGGUAGUGAUCUCAUUUCUCAACUU